CAACAGCUCAGAGCCAAACUGGCCUUCUUCACCACCAGCAUACAGCAAGACCUACAGCACUACGACCAGCAGAGAGACACUGGCAUCUCCUCUGAGAAGAUGCUGAAAGCCUGGCAGGACAAUGAACAGAAAGCUGCUGCUUUUACACAGGUAUCAGAGGUGGACUAUCUGGAUGAGGAGAUAGUGUGUCUCCACU